rnacentral:rRNA from 1 species
GAUGAACGCUGGCGGCGUGCCUAAUACAUGCAAGUCGAGCGAACGGACGAGAAGCUUGCUUCUCUGAUGUUAGCGGCGGACGGGUGAGUAACACGUGGAUAACCUACCUAUAAGACUGGGAUAACUUCGGGAAACCGGAGCUAAUACCGGAUAAUAUUUUGAACCGCAUGGUUCAAAAGUGAAAGACGGUCUUGCUGUCACUUAUAGAUGGAUCCGCGCUGCAUUAGCUAGUUGGUAAGGUAACGGCUUACCAAGGCAACGAUGCAUAGCCGACCUGAGAGGGGGAUCGGCCACACCGGAACUGAGACACGGUCCAGACUCCGAAGGGAGGCAGCAGUAGGGAAUUUUCCGCAAUGGGCGGAAGCCUGACGGAGCAACGCCGCGUGAGUGAAGAAGGUCUUCGGAUUGGAAAACUCUUUUAUUAGGGAAGAACAUAUGUGUAAGUAACUGUGCACAUCUUGACGGUACCUAAUCAGAAAGCCACGGCUAACUACGUG